rnacentral:rRNA from 1 species
UGAGUGCGAGCUGCUACGGCAGCGAAGUAGGUGAUGUCAAGCUUCCAAGAAAAGCCCUAUACCCGUUAAGGCAUGACUGCCUGUACCCGAAACCGACACAGGUGGGGUGGUAGAGAAUACCGAGGGGCGCGAGGUAACUCUCUCUAAGGAACUCGGCAAAAUGGCCCCGUAACUUCGGGAGAAGGGGUGCCACCGCAAGGUGGUCGCAGUGAAGAGGCUCACGCGACUGUUUACCAAAAACACAGGUCUCCGCUAAGUCGCAAGACGAUGUAUGGGGGCUGACGCCUGCCCAGUGCCGGAAGGUUAAGGAAGCUGGUCAGCGUAAGCGAAGCUGGCGACUGAAGCCCCGGUGAACGGCGGCCGUAACAAUAACGGUCCUAAGGUAGCGAAAUUCCUUGUCGGGUAAGUUCCGACCCGCACGAAAGGCGUAACGAUCUGGGCGCUGUCUCGGAGAGAGGCUCGGCGAAAUAGAAUUGUCUGUGAAGAUGCGGACUACGUGCACCCGGACAGAAAGACCCUAUGAAGCUUUACUGUAGCUUGGUAUUGUGCCCGGGCUCGCAAUGCGCAGGAUAGGUGGGAGGCUUUGAUCAUCGGCUUGCGGGUCGAUGUGAGCCACUGGUGAGAUACCACUCUUUGCGAGCUAGGGUUCUAACAGCCACCCGUGAUCCGGGGGCUGGACAGUAUCAGGUGGGCAGUUUGACCGGGGCGGUCGCCUCCUAAAAGGUAACGGAGGCGCGCAAAGGUUCCCUCAGGCUGGUUGGAAAUCAGCCGACGAGUGUAAAGGCAGAAGGGAGCUUGACUGUGAGACCUACAAGUCGAACAGGGACGAAAGUCGGCCUUAGUGAUCCGACGGUUCUGAGUGGAAGGGCCGUCGCUCAACGGAUAAAAGUUACUCUAGGAUAACAGGCUGAUCUCCCCCAAGAGUUCACAUCGACGGGGAGGUUUGGCACCUCGAUGUCGGCUCAUCGCAACCUGGGGCUGAAGUCGGUCCCAAGGGUUGGGCUGUUCGCCCAUUAAAGCGGUACGCGAGCUGGGUUCAGAACGUCGUGAGACAGUUCGGUCCAUAUCCGGUGCAUGCGCAGGAAUAUUGAGAGGAGUUCUCCCUAGUACGAGAGGACCGGGAGGAACGCACCUCUGGUGUACCAGUUAUCGUGCCAACGGUAAACGCUGGGUAGCCAUGUGCGGAGAGGAUAACCGCUGAAAGCAUCUAAGUGGGAAGCCCACCUCAAGAUGAGUAUUCCCAUGGCAUAAGCCAGUAAGGUCACGGGAAGAACACCCGUUGAUAGGCUCUACGUGGAAGCGCAGUAAUGCGUGAAGCGGAGGAGUACUAAUAGACCGAGGGCUUGAC